rnacentral:lncRNA from 1 species
UAGGAGCCCACCUUCAUUUCCCAAGUGUGACCCUUAGAUGCUUAGUUGACUCGCGCAUAUUUGCUCUCGUCUUUAGAAAAGAAAGGAAGAGGUCUCGUUCCAAUGAAACAUUUCUAGAAAGGUGUAAUAUAAACUUUCAUUCCAGAAAGUGUGUCAUAAGCAAAUAACUCACCUGUCAGAUUUUAAAUGGUAUUGAACACAAAAGAAAGCUGUUGUGUUUUGUUUUGUUUUCAUGAAACUGUGAUUUUUCAACUUAUGAAUGCUAUAAUGUCCCAGUGCGGGAAGCUAACUCUGUGUGAAUAUCAACUUGUAUAAAACAAACCAACUGACCUAUACACAAACAUUUUUCAUAGGCACUGUAUAAAGAGAAAUGUAUGUUUAUUGACUCAAAUCAGUUUUUCAGAGAGGAAACUUUACUGAGAUGAAGAAGCGGGUAAAUUGGUUUGUUAUUUAAAAAAAAAAAAACUUGCAUGUUUAAAAAAAUGUUGAUUGCUUCAAAUUUCUGCUAUUAACUUCAAGCUAUGGGAGUUUGGCGGUAGUCAAUUGAGGAUUUUUUUCCAUUUCUUUUCUUUUUGUUGUUAAAGCUGUACUUCAGUGAACAGAAAAAUUGCCAAGCAAACUAAUGGCCGUAAAAGUGUAAAUUGCAUGUGUGGGCAUAAUUACCGAACCUCAUUGCCAUGAGGUAUGUACAAAGUUUUAAUACAUUUUGUAAAUAAAAUUGUAAAG